AAUUAUCUUGGAAGCACCAGUGAGUCUAGCUCCCUUGGCAGCCUACAGAAAAUGUAAAAACAAAAAAUUUACAAAAAUUUCCUUUAAUUUUGAAAGAGGCAAGGCAACUCAAAGCAAGUCCCAAAGCUCCCAAUCCAAAUAUAGCUAAUGAUGAACCUUUCCUUGGUUUUGCAACUUUCAAUGUAGCAUCAAGACCUUCAAUAAGAAAACCAAUGAUAUAGUUAAUUGAAAGAGAAAGUUUACAAAUGACUAAAAGAGCAUAAUGUAGUUAUUUUAGCCUGUUGAGAUUCCACAGCUCAGAAACUUUUUGUUGCGUGUAGCCAUACCAAAUUUGACUCCAAUAACCACCCCAUCUAAAAGACUUUAAGGGAGGAUUAUCUUCCAUUACUUUUGCAAUCAAUUACAAUGCUUGAUGAUAUAAACCUUAAAGUUACAGUCAUUACUUGUUAACUCAUACACGAAGAAAACAUAGUUCAAUUCGAGGGUCUGUCACAGCUAAACGUAAAACCUUAAACCCUAGAAUAUCCAAAGGCACCUGUAAACUAAACAACAAAAGCAAAUAACACAUUCGACACGCCGAGAACAUGAAAGAGAAAAAAAAUGCAUUGCAUGAAAUGAAAAUGCAGACCAGCAGAAACACGAAAUCAAAGUACCUCAUCGCUGUGAAAAACCAAUCUUCUUUAAUUACCAUAGUUUAUGCGAAUGUUUGGUAAUGUAUAUUACUAGGAAGCAUAAUCAAAUCAUAUACAUGUGAAUAAUAUUGAAAGUUGUAAAGUAGCCUCAUGAACACUNAUGUAUUUCUCUGACAAUUGAUUUCAGGCUNGAUGAGGCNAUUGAAAUUCUUGAAAACAUUGUGAUAAUGAGGGAAGAAAAGCUUGGGACUGCAAAUCCUGAUGUUGCUGAUGNGAAGAGAAGGUUGAAGGAGUUGUUGAAGGAAACAGGNAAAGUUCGGAACAGAAAAACCAAGUCGCCNGAGAACCUUUUUGAUCNUGAUUAUAUAUNACUAUAGCUAGAUAGAUGUGGUAUGAAAAGGUCCCUGCUUUACAGGAAUUCUAGAAAUGGAACAACAGUAGUUUAUGUGGGUAAAAAUCAAAUGGAAUGAAUAAUCAAGAGUUUAAAUGCUGAAUAUUUGUCCAAACCUCCACUACUAAUUGUAGAUACCAUGUAACUAUUUACUUUAGUUGGAUGGAUAUGCAUUGUUUUUUGUAUAGAACAUUAUUUUCUUCCUUCCAUUUCACAUUUAUGUUUAUUAUCAUUUUACCAAAAUUAUGUCAGAAAAAGUAUAAUUAAAUGAUUUUCAAUUCUUAGCAUAAAAAUUUGCAUUAAUAAAAAUUUUCAUUUUACUAAAAUUAUGUCAGAAAAAGUAUAAUUGAAGAACUAAAUCCAAUAAUCUCACCCAAUUCUUAGCAUUUAUAAUAACAUUAAAUUCUGCAGUUUGUAGACAAUUUCCAUAGCCUUACCAUUGCUGAAAUUUUAGUACAUGUUAUGCCACAUGAUUUUUCAUUAUUAAUAUUCUUAAUAAGGUAUCUCAACAUUUAACAUUUCCUCCUUACAAAGGACACACAAUAUUGUUUAUUUAGCAUAAUAUAAUUUGAAUUAAAAAUAAGAGGAAGAAUAGGAAUUAGAUUAACUUUAUGCAGCUUUGCGGCCCAUAACCACAAUCAGUUUUCUAUGCCAUAUAGAGGAAAUAUAGAAAAAUGACUAGAUUUUAACCAUAUGAGUCUAACAUUAACAGAUAAAACCUCAAAUAAGGCGGAAAAAUGUUGAUGAAGCAAUUAGCACUAACAUAGUAAUGAGGCAACAAACCAUUGGACAAAAAAAUGAUCAAGUAACAAAACACCUUCCAAAAUAAAGGAAAAAUAAAGCAUUACAAAAAUUAAACAUCACCACUUAAAUACUUCAACACACAUAUUUCUAGACUGUUCUAGUUUAUUGACAUAAGUGGUAAUAAUUCAUAUAUGAGAUUGGCAACAAAAGGAUUUUAGAAGGCUAAAUAGAUGGUAACCUUCGUUUAAUCCAGCAACUAUUAAGACAAAGUCAAGAUAUAUACAACAAAGAAACACACCACUUGUAGAGAGCACCAUUUCUUAUUCCACCCAUGCCAUUGGAUAUAACAUCGAGGUUGAUAGCUCUAGCAGUCAUAGAAGGAAACAUCUAUGCCCAUCGAUUCUAUUCAAAGAAGUAACCAAUUAAAACAAGAUAUUAAACAUAUCAAAGGUCAUUAAUUAAAGAUCAAAAUAACCAAAUCAAAGUGUUGUAGUGCUAACCUACAGUAUAUGAUUGGUACAAGUUGUAGUUCUAACCUACAUAUAACAAUCCAAUAACAUUUUUUCAAUUUUAUUAAAGACAAAGGCUUCAAAACCAUUGGAAUCGCAUUCUUCAAAUUCCAUUAUUUGUUUCCAUUUGUGCCCCCAUUUCCGUUUAAACCAUUGGAAACAAAAACUAAACUUACACUCUGACUUCAAAAAUCACAUGAAUGUUUGCAUUUAAAAAUGAAAAAAAUAAAUAAAUAAAACAUAUAGCAGCAUCACACUCACAGUUUUAUCGAACUAGGGUUUAUCUGAAGAAGGCUUGGAUUGAUUGGAAGGCUUGAAGGGAGCGGCAUUGUUGUCCUUGUCAUGUUAUUUCAUGAACCAUUUCCUUAUAUCACUAUGCAAUUCGACAGGGAGAAAGACAAAACAUAAGGUAACAUCUUUCAAGGAGCAGAGAAAGAUAAUCGAAAUGAAAAAUAAGAACCCUAACUUACCAUUCCUAUUUAGGGCGGGAGAACAUAAAGUUCCCACCAAAAAUAGGUCAAUGUAACAAUAACCACAAAAAACGAAAAACCAAAACAACUGCAAUGUUUCGAUUACUCACUGCAUUCAAUCCUCAACGACAAAUCAAAUGUGGUUGUAGACAAAUCGCGAUACCAACGCUAAUGAACAAUCGGUGAUGGCAACACGAGCAAAUUGCUGAUGCGACACUGCAACUCAGUUGUGUGAGCUUCUAUGAUUGGGAGAGUCGAAGGGAAGUUUUUGUGACUGACUCUGUGAGCAAGAGGGAAAAUG
rnacentral:lncRNA from 1 species